AGAGUUUGAUCCUGGCUCAGGACGAACGCUGGCGGCGUGCUUAACACAUGCAAGUCGAACGGUGAUGUCAGAGCUUGCUCUGGCGGAUCAGUGGCGAACGGGUGAGUAACACGUGAGUAACCUGCCCCCGACUCUGGGAUAACUGCUAGAAAUGGUAGCUAAUACCGGAUAUGACGAUUGGCCGCAUGGUCUGGUCGUGGAAAGAAUUUCGGUUGGGGAUGGACUCGCGGCCUAUCAGGUUGUUGGUGAGGUAAUGGCUCACCAAGCCUACGACGGGUAGCCGGCCUGAGAGGGUGACCGGCCACACUGGGACUGAGACACGGCCCAGACUCCUACGGGAGGCAGCAGUUGGGAAUAUUGCACAAUGGGCGAAAGCCUGAUGCAGCAACGCCGCGUGAGGGAUGACGGNCUUCGGGUUGUAAACCUCUUUUAGUAGGGAAGAAGCGAAAGUGACGGUACCUGCAGAAAAAGCACCGGCUAACUACGUGCCAGCAGCCGCGGUAAUACGUAGGGUGCAAGCGUUGUCCGGAAUUAUUGGGCGUAAAGAGCUCGUAGGCGGUUUGUCGCGUCUGCUGUGAAAUCCCGAGGCUCAACCUCGGGUCUGCAGUGGGUACGGGCAGACUAGAGUGCGGUAGGGGAGAUUGGAAUUCCUGGUGUAGCGGUGGAAUGCGCAGAUAUCAGGAGGAACACCGAUGGCGAAGGCAGAUCUCUGGGCCGUAACUGACGCUGAGGAGCGAAAGCAUGGGGAGCGAACAGGAUUAGAUACCCUGGUAGUCCAUGCCGUAAACGUUGGGAACUAGAUGUGGGGACCAUUCCACGGUCUCCGUGUCGCAGCUAACGCAUUAAGUUCCCCGCCUGGGGAGUACGGCCGCAAGGCUAAAACUCAAAGGAAUUGACGGNGGCCCGCACAAGCGGCGGAGCAUGCGGAUUAAUUCGAUGCAACGCGAAGAACCUUACCAAGGCUUGACAUAUACUGGAAACAUGCAGAAAUGUGUUGCCCCGCAAGGUCGGUAUACAGGUGGUGCAUGGUUGUCGGUCAGCUCGUGUCGUGAGAUGUUGGGUUAAGUNCCCGCAACGAGCGCAACCCUCGUUCUUUUGUUGNCAGGAACGUUAAUGGUGGGAACUCAUAGGAGACUNCCGGGGUCAACUCGGAGGAAGGUGGGGAUGACGUCAAAUCAUCAUGCCCCUUAUGUCUUGGGCUUCACGCAUGCUACAAUGGCCGGUACAAAGGGCUGCGAUACCGUAAGGUGGAGCGAAUCCCANAAAGCCGGUCUCAGUUCGGAUUGAGGUCUGCAACUCGACCUCAUGAAGUCGGAGUCGCUAGUAAUCGCAGAUCAGCAACCCUGCGGUGAAUACGUUCCCGGGCCUUGUACACACCGCCCGUCAAGGCAUGAAAGUCGGUAACACCCGAAGCCAGUGGCCUAACCGCAAGGGAGGAGCUGUCGAAGGUGGGAUCGGUGAUUAGGACUAAGUCGUAACAAGGUAACC
rnacentral:rRNA from 1 species